UACGUAGGGUGCAAGCGUUAAUCGGAAUUACUGGGCGUAAAGCGUGCGCAGGCGGUUUUGUAAGUCAGAUGUGAAAUCCCCCGGGCUCAACCCGGGAACUGCGUCCGAUACUGGCGGGCUUGAAUCCGGGAGAGGGAUGUGGAAUUCCAGGUGUAGCGGUGAAAUGCGUAGAUAUCUGGAGGAACACCGGUGGCGAAGGCGGCAUCCUGGACCGGUAUUGACGCUGAGGCGCGAAAGCUAGGGGAGCAAACGGG
rnacentral:rRNA from 1 species